GUGGGGAAUCUUCCGCAAUGGACGAAAGUCUGACGGAGCAACGCCGCGUGAGUGAAGAAGGUUUUCGGAUCGUAAAGCUCUUUCGUUAGGGACGAACGUGCUCUUUGUGAAUAAUGAGGAGUAAUGACGGUACCUAAAUAAGAAGCCACGACUAACUACGUGCCAGCAGCCGCGGUAAUACGUAGGUGGCAAGCGUUGUCCGGAAUUAUUGGGCGUAAAGCGCGCGCAGGCGGGAUAUCAAGUCUGUCUUAAAAGUGCGAGGCUCAACCUCGUGAGGGGACAGAAACUGGUAUUCUUGAGUGUCGGAGAGGAAAGUGGAAUUCCAAGUGUAGCGGUGAAAUGCGUAGAGAUUUGGAAGAACACCAGUGGCGAAGGCGACUUUCUGGACGAUGUCUGACGCUGAGGCGCGAAAGCUAGGGGAGCGAACGGGAUUAGAAACCCGGGUAGUCC
rnacentral:rRNA from 1 species